UACGGAGGGGACUAGCGUUGUUCGGAAUUACUGGGCGUAAAGCGCACGUAGGCGGAUUUGUAAGUCAGGGGUGAAAUCCCGGGGCUCAACCUCGGAACUGCCUUUGAUACUGCAAAUCUCGGGUCCGGAAGAGGUGAGUGGAAUUCCUAGUGUAGAGGUGAAAUUCGUAGAUAUUAGGAAGAACACCAGUGGCGAAGGCGGCUCACUGGUCCGGUACUGACGCUGAGGUGCGAAAGCGUGGGGAGCAAACAGG
rnacentral:rRNA from 1 species